CAUCAUGGCUCAGGAUGAGCGCUAGCGGCAGGCCUAACACAUGCAAGUCGAGGGGCAUCGGGAUUGAAGCUUGCUUCAAUUGCCGGCGACCGGCGCACGGGUGCGUAACGCGUAUGUAACCUACCUAUAACNGGGGCAUAGCACUGAGAAAUUGGUACUAAUUCCCCAUAAUAUUCGGAGAGGCAUCUCUCCGGGUUGAAAACUCCGGUGGUUAUAGAUGGACAUGCGUUGUAUUAG
rnacentral:rRNA from 1 species